rnacentral:rRNA from 1 species
GUGGGGAAUCUUAGACAAUGGGGGAAACCCUGAUCUAGCCAUGCCGCGUGAUCGAUGAAGGCCUUAGGGUUGUAAAGAUCUUUCAGGUGGGAAGAUAAUGACUGUACCACCAGAAGAAGCCCCGGCUAACUCCGUGCCAGCAGCCGCGGUAAUACGGAGGGGGCUAGCGUUGUUCGGAAUUACUGGGCGUAAAGCGCACGUAGGCGGAUUGGAAAGUUGGGGGUGAAAUCCCGGGGCUCAACCCCGGAACUGCCUUCAAAACUCCCAGUCUUGAGUUCGAGAGAGGUGAGUGGAAUUCCGAGUGUAGAGGUGAAAUUCGUAGAUAUUCGGAGGAACACCAGUGGCGAAGGCGGCUCACUGGCUCGAUACUGACGCUGAGGUGCGAAAGCGUGGGGAGCAAACAGGAUUAGAAACCCGGGUAGUCC